rnacentral:rRNA from 1 species
ACGAACGCUGGCGGCGUGCUUCACCCAUGCCAGUCGAACGGAAAGGCCCUGCUUUUGUGGGGUGCUCGAGUGGCGAACGGGUGAGUAACACGUGAGUAACCUGCCCUUGACUUUGGGAUAACUUCAGGAAACUGGGGCUAAUACCGGAUAGGAGCUCCUGCUGCACGGUGGGGGUUGGAAAGUUUCGGCGGUUGGGGAUGGACUCGCGGCUUAUCAGCUUGUUGGUGGGGUAGUGGCUUACCAAGGCUUUGACGGGUAGCCGGCCUGAGAGGGUGACCGGCCACAUUGGGACUGAGAUACGGCCCAGACUCCUACGGGAGGCAGCAGUGGGGAAUAUUGCACAAUGGGCGGAAGCCUGAUGCAGCAACGCCGCGUGCGGGAUGACGGCCUUCGGGUUGUAAACCGCUUUCGCCUGUGACGAAGCGUGAGUGACGGUAAUGGGUAAAGAAGCACCGGCUAACUACGUG